ACUCCUACGGGAGGCAGCAGUGGGGAAUAUUGCGCAAUGGGCGAAAGCCUGACGCAGCCAUGCCGCGUGUGUGAAGAAGGCCUUAGGGUUGUAAAGCACUUUCAAUUGGGAAGAAAAGUUUACCGUUAAUAGCGUGCAGCUGUGACAUUACCUUUAGAAGAAGCACCGGCUAACUCCGUGCCAGCAGCCGCGGUAAUACGGAGGGUGCAAGCGUUAAUCGGAAUUACUGGGCGUAAAGCGCGCGUAGGCGGUUUGUUAAGUUGGAUGUGAAAGCCCUGGGCUCAACCUGGGAACUGCAUUCGAUACUGAUCGACUAGAGUACGAGAGAGGGAGGUAGAAUUCCACGUGUAGCGGUGAAAUGCGUAGAUAUCUGGAGGAAUACCGGUGGCGAAGGCGGCCUCCUGGCUCGAUACUGACGCUGAGGUGCGAAAGCGUGGGUAGCAAACAGGAUUAGAUACCCUGGUAGUCCACGCCGUAAACGAUGUCUACUAGCCGUUGGGAGACUUGAUUUCUUACGUGGCGCAGCCGGCGCACUAAGUAGACCGCCUGGGGAGUACGGCCGCAAGGUUAAAACUCAAAUGAAUUGACGG
rnacentral:rRNA from 1 species